rnacentral:rRNA from 1 species
GACGAACGCUGGCGGCGUGCUUAACACAUGCAAGUCGAACGGUGAAGCGCCUUACUUUUUGGUGGGUGUGGAUUAGUGGCGAACGUGUGAGUAACACGUGAGUAACCUGCCUCCUCCUUCUGGAUAACCGCAUGAAAGUGUGGCUAAUACGGGAUAUUCUUGGUCUGUCGCAUAUUGGUUCUGGGACAUAUAUUGUUUCGGUGUGCGAUGGUCUCGCGUCCUAUCAGCUUGUGGGUGGGGUGUUGGCCUACCAAGGCGGUGCCGGGUAGCCGGCAUGAGAGGGAGGACGAUCAGACUGGGAAGGAGACACGGUCAAGACUGAUACGGGACGCAGCAGUGGGGAAUAUGGCACGAUGGGGGGAAGAAUAAUGCAGAGAGGAGGGGAGAGGGAUGGAGGGAUUCGGGUUGAGAACCGCUUGAGCCAGUGAAGCAGGGCUGCCUCGUAUGUGGAGGGGUUGACGGUAGCUUAAUAAGAAGCGCCGGCUAACUACGUG